UCGAGCUUUCUGUGAAGCCGGCGCGUAAGCGAUCCGGUGGAGAGAUCGGAAGCGAGAAUGUUGACAUGAGUAGCGACAAACAGGGUGAGAGACCCUGUCGCCGAAAGUCCAAGGGUUCCUGCUUAAAGCUAAUCUGAGCAGGGUAAGCCGGCCCCUAAGGCGAGGCCGAAAGGCGUAGUCGAUGGGAACCAGGUUAAUAUUCCUGGGCCAGGAGGAUGUGACGGAUCUCGAAGGUUGUCUGCCCUUAUCGGAUUGGGUGGGCCGCUUAGAGGUUCCUGGAAAUAGCCCUCCACAAGACCGUACCCCAAACCGACACAGGUGGACUGGUAGAGAAUACCAAGGCGCUUGAGAGAACCACAUCAAAGGAACUCGGCAAAAUGCUCCCGUAAGUUCGCGAGAAGGGAGCCCCGUCUGUAGGCAACUAUGGGCGGGGGGCACAAACCAGGGGGUGGCGGCUGUUUACUUAAAACACAGGGCUGUGCGAAGCCGUAAGGCGACGUAUACAGUCUGACGCCUGCCCGGUGCUGGAAGGUUAAGAGGAGGGGUGCAAGCUCUGAAUUGAAGCCCCAGUAAACGGCGGCCGUAACUAUAACGGUCCUAAGGUAGCGAAAUUCCUUGUCGGGUAAGUUCCGACCUGCACGAAUGGCGUAACGAUCUCCCCGCUGUCUCUGAUGUGGACUCAGCGAAAUUGAACUGUGUGUCAAGAUGCACACUUCCCGCGGUUAGACGGAAAGACCCCAUGAACCUUUACUCCAGCUUUGCACUGGCAUCAGGAUUGUGAUGUGCAGGAUAGGUGGUAGGCAUCGAAGCAGAGACGCCAGUUUCUGUGGAGCCUCCCUUGAGAUACCACCCUUCGCACUCUUGAUGUCUAACCGCGGCCCGUUAUCCGGGUCCGGGACCAUGCAUGGUGGGGAGUUUGACUGGGGCGGUCGCCUCCCAAACAGUAACGGAGGCGCGCGAAGGUUGGCUCAGAGCGGUCGGAAAUCGCUCGUUGAGUGCAAUGGCAGAAGCCAGCCUGACUGCAAGACUGACAAGUCGAGCAGAGACGAAAGUCGGCCAUAGUGAUCCGGUGGUCCCAAGUGGGAGGGCCAUCGCUCAACGGAUAAAAGGUACUCUGGGGAUAACAGGCUGAUGAUGCCCAAGAGUCCAUAUCGACGGCAUCGUUUGGCACCUCGAUGUCGGCUCAUCUCAUCCUGGGGCUGGCGCAGGU
rnacentral:rRNA from 1 species